rnacentral:rRNA from 1 species
AUUGAACGCUGGCGGCAUGCCUAACACAUGCAAGUCGAGCGGAUGAAGGGGGCUUUCGCCUGGCUUCCGCGGCCGACGGGUGGGUGAUUCCUAGGAAGCUGACUGAUCGUUGGGGAUAACGUCCCUUAACGGGCGCUGAUAUCACAUCCGUCCUUAUGUUGAAAGUGAGGGAUCUUCGGACCUCGCGCUAUUAGAUGACCCUAGGACGGAUUAGCUAGUUGGUUUGGUAAAGGCCUACCAAGGCGACGAUCCGUAACUGGUCUGAGAGGCUGAUCGGCCACACUGGAACUGAGACACGGUCCAGACUCCUACGGGAGGCAGCAGUGGGGAAUCUUGGACAAUGGGCGAAAGCCUGAUCCAGCAACGCCGCGUGUGUGAAGAAGGUCUUCGGAUUGUAAAGCACUUUAAGUAGGGAGGAAGAGAAGUAUGAUAAAACAUGGACGUCUUGACGGUACCAACAGAGAAAGCACCGGCUAACUUCGUG